rnacentral:rRNA from 1 species
GACGAACGCUGGCGGCGUGCUUAACACAUGCAAGUCGAACGGAAAGGCCCUGCUUUUGUGGGGUGCUCGAGUGGCGAACGGGUGAGUAACACGUGAGUAACCUGCCCUUGACUUUGGGAUAACUUCAGGAAACUGGGGCUAAUACCGGAUAGGAGCUCCUGCUGCAUGGUGGGGGUUGGAAAGUUUCGGCGGUUGGGGAUGGACUCGCGGCUUAUCAGCUUGUUGGUGGGGUAGUGGCUUACCAAGGCUUUGACGGGUAGCCGGCCUGAGAGGGUGACCGGCCACAUUGGGACUGAGAUACGGCCCAGACUCCUACGGGAGGGAGCAGUGGGGAAUAUUGCACAAUGGGCGGAAGCCUGAUGCAGCAACGCCGCGUGCGGGAUGACGGCCUUCGGGUUGUAAACCGCUUUCGCCUGGGACGAAGCGUGAGUGACGGUAAUGGGUAAAGAAGCCCCGGCUAACUACGUG